AUUGAACGCUGGCGGCAGGCCUAGCACAUGCAAGUCGAACGGUAACAGGGAUCAGCUUGCUGAUUCGCUGACGAGUGGCGGACGGGUGAGUAAUGUCUGGGAAACUGCCUGAUGGAGGGGGAUAACUACUGGAAACGGUAGCUAAUACCGCAUAACGUCGCAAGACCAAAGAGGGGGACCUUCGGGCCUCUUGCCAUCGGAUGUGCCCAGAUGGGAUUAGCUAGUAGGUGGGGUAACGGCUCACCUAGGCGACGAUCCCUAGCUGGUCUGAGAGGAUUACCAGCCACACUGGAACUGAGACACGGUCCAGACUCCUACGGGAGGCAGCAGUGGGGAAUAUUGCACAAUGGGCGCAAGCCUGAUGCAGCCAUGCCGCGUGUAUGAAGAAGGCCUUCGGGUUGUAAAGUACUUUCAGCGGGGAGGAAGGGAGUAAAGUUAAUACCUUGGCUCAUUGACGUUACCCGCAGAAGAAGCACCGGCUAACUCCGUG
rnacentral:rRNA from 1 species